UACGUAGGUGGCGAGCGUUGUCCGGAUUUACUGGGCGUAAAGGGAGCGUAGGUGGACUUUUAAGUGAGAUGUGAAAUACCCGGGCUCAACUUGGGUGCUGCAUUUCAAACUGGAAGUCUAGAGUGCAGGAGAGGAGAAUGGAAUUCCUAGUGUAGCGGUGAAAUGCGUAGAGAUUAGGAAGAACACCAGUGGCGAAGGCGAUUCUCUGGACUGUAACUGACGCUGAGGCUCGAAAAGCGUGGGGAGCAAACAGG
rnacentral:rRNA from 1 species